rnacentral:rRNA from 1 species
UACGUAGGGUGCGAGCGUUAAUCGGCAUUACUGGGCGUAAAGCGUGCGCAGGCGGUGAUGUAAGACAGCUGUGAAAUCCCCGGGCUCAACCUGGGAACUGCAUUUGUGACUGCAUCGCUGGAGUGCGGCAGAGGGGGAUGGAAUUCCGCGUGUAGCAGUGAAAUGCGUAGAUAUGCGGAGGAACACCGAUGGCGAAGGCAAUCCCCUGGGCCUGCACUGACGCUCAUGCACGAAAGCGUGGGGAGCAAACAGG